GUGUGUGUGUGUGUUUGUAUAGUGUGUGUAUAUAAUGCAGUGUGUGUGUUUGUAAAGUGUGUGUGUGUGUUUGUAUACAAUGCACACAAAUACACUGCAUUAUAUACACAUUAUACAAACACACACUGCAUUAUAUACACACACUAUACAAACACACUG